rnacentral:rRNA from 1 species
UGGGUACCGAAGCCUAACGCGUGAAGUGACCCGCCUGGGGAGUACGCCCGCAAGGUUAAAACUCAAAGGAAUUGACGGGGACCCGCACAACCGGUGGAUGAUGUGGAUUAAUUCGAUGCAACGCGAACAACCUUACCUACCCUUGACAUGUCUGGAAGCCUGCUGAGAGGCGGGUGUGCCUGAAAGGGAACCGGAACACAGGUGCUGCAUGGCUGUCGUCAGCUCGUGUCGUGAGAUGUUGGGUUAAGUCCCGCAACGAGCGCAACCCUUGUCCCUAGUUGCUACGCAAGGGCACUCUAGGGAGACUGCCGGUGACAAACCGGAGGAAGGUGGGGAUGACGUCAAGUCCUCAUGGCCCUUACGGGUAGGGCUUCACACGUCAUACAAUGGCCGGUACAGAGGGUUGCCAACCCGCGAGGGGGAGCCAAUCCCAGAAAGCCGGUCGUAGUCCGGAUUGCAGUCUGCAACUCGACUGCAUGAAGUCGGAAUCGCUAGUAAUCGCGGAUCAGCAUGUCGCGGUGAAUACGUUCCCGGGUCUUGUACACACCGCCCGUCACACCAUGGGAGCGGGAUGUACCAGAAGUAGGUAGGCUAACCGCAAGGAGGCCGCUUACCACGGUGCGUUUCGUGACUGGGGUG